ensembl:lncRNA
UUUACGUAAUAUAGUUGCAUAUUUUCCAAAGCUUGGGUCCCAGGAAAAGUUUUAAACCCUUGUGUUGUCUUAAGGGUAGAAAAAUGACCCACCACUAUGUUUAACAGCAGAGAAAACCCCCUAAAUGAUAUUUUUUCAACUUGAAAUUGGAUGACUUUUCCUAGAGUGACCCCAACAUUAGAAAAAAUGAAACAUCACCUUUGUUCAUAUUUCCAUGAAAGCUGUACACCACCAGGGUACAAAUAUUGUCUUAGGGUAAUUUUUGACCCAGCAGUUGUAAAAUCAUUUACACACCACAAAAACCACAAAGACACACACACACAAUGGAAAAGUGAGAUUGUGUGCUACUGACUGAACUCAGACAAAACUAAAACUUUCUUGUGCAUGUGCAGCAUCUCCCCUCCACGACCCAACACAUGACUCAAGUUCACAGACAAAAUAAAAACAAUUUCAGACUAAAUAAACAUUUCUUGAAAGCAUGGUUUACUAAUGGGGAAUGCAGUCAGAGGCUAUAAAGGUGCUGCAGAUGACAGUCCCCCCAGUUCUCGCUUUGCUGAAGCCAUGAGUGCACGUUUCAGUGCCCAACAGGUCGUAUAUCAGAUUUUUUUCAGAUGUCCUGGAGGAACAAGUGAGCAAUGAUUUAGAAGAGGAGGUAUCUGAAUUAGAAGAUGGGGAAGAAUACAACCCAGAGCACGAUGCAUCAGAUGAAGAUGAAAUCCCCCAAGCUGAAAUAUUUUUUUUUGUCAAAGAACAUCAAAAUAACAUUGUCCUUGUCACCAUAUGACAACCAGAGCAAGAUGGCAGGACAAAAUGUCAUAAGGAUGACCCCAGGGCCCACAAGACAUGUAGUUAGUUGCCCAUGACCAGGACAUCUCCAAAACAUUGUACAUGUUCAUCACACCAGCCAUCGAAAAAAAUACUGGAGAUGACAAAUUUGGAGGGUUUCUGUAAAUAUGGAGACAACUGGAAAAGGAUUGAUGAGAUUGACCUGCGUGUCUACAUAAGGCUGCUAAUCUUAGCGGGUGUAUAUAUAGAUCCCGAGGUUGGCUACAUUUAGUCUCUGGGAUACAGAGAGUGGCACAAUGCCACUGAAAGUCUUCAACACUUCCUCAAGAAUGCUAUGUUUUGAUAACCGUGAGUCAAGACCUGCAAGACGUGUGAGAGACAAACUGACGGCCAUAAGAGAGGUCUGGGAGAAGUGGUUGGAGCGUCUGCCAUACCUCUAUAACCCUGGGCCUGAGGUAACCGUGGAUGAGCAACUGGUUCCAUUCAGAGGUUACUGUCCUUUCCGGCAGUAUAUGCCCAGCAAGCCAGCAAAGUAUGGCAUCAAGAUAUGGGUGGCCUGUGACACACAAUCCAGCUAUGCUUGGAAGAUGCACAGGGAAGCCGACCGGUGGAGGCCUGGAGAAGAACCAGAUGACAGUCCUGGGCUGUGCUUGACGGGACAGAUGGAUUUAGGGGGCACAAUGUCACGUGUGACACAAUUCUUCACCUCUUAUUAACUCAGCCAGCAGCUCCUGAAGAGGAAGAUCACCAUGGUUGGCACAGUUAGAAAGAACAAGCCUGAGCUCCCCCCGUG